ACAAAGUCUGGAGGUUGAGUGUGCAGACAAUCCCAGUGCCAUUGAUUGUCCUUAAACACUUCAUUGACCCUGAUCUUGUCUUGCCUGGAAUCAUCUGCUAAAAAGCUGUGCAAGGGGCUCAACCCGCCUCUGGAUGAUGAGCCAGAGUGAGAGCCGACAAUAAGCUAAUGGAUGCCAUCUCUGCUGGAUAAUUAAUUCCCCCCUUUCAAUUCACGGAAAGCACGGUCGAAAAGACGUAAAGAAAUCGGUGAGCGCUUGCCUUACCUAGUAGGGCAGCCGACCAAGGCUCAGACCCUUAUGAAUCGGCCGUCCGGGCCUGUCAAGUUAGGCCUUCGUAAAAAAGUCCACAGGGCGUUAAGCUCGGUGAGGUGGGUUCGAAAGAUAGAGAGUUGAUGAGGAGGCUAACCGCUACUUCUAAAACGAUCGUUAAGGUCAUUCACUCGGGGGCUCUGCUACCGAUGGAUCAAGAUAUGCUGCCUGCCUAUCAUGCCAAAGGCGCUGCUGGUGGAUAUGCCAAAGAUGUCCUGGCUCUGAACCGGGUACUUGAAAUGCUAAAGGUACUUCUUAUGGUCCUGCUUCAACCACCCUUCCUUCUCUACCUUUUUCUUCAAAAACUUAAGCUACUUAGACUGAUGCUGGCAAUCUCGAAGGGAGAUAUCUGGACCUGGAGCAANNNNNNNNNNNNNNNNNNNNNNNNNNNNNNNNNNNNNNNNNNNNNNNNNNNNNNNNNNNNNNNNNNNNNNNNNNNNNNNNNNNNNNNNNNNNNNNNNNNNNNNNNNNNNNNNNNNNNNNNNNNNNNNNNNNNNNNNNNNNNNNNNNNNNNNNNNNNNNNNNNNNGCAAGAAGAGAAACAAGUCAUAUUUCUACAAUUUUAAACAAAUACAAAAUAAAAAUAGAAUACUCAAUCAUGAAUAAAUGCAAGAAAAUAACCUCUCCUUUUUCUAUAAUGUAAACAAAAAAGUCUAUGUAAGUAAAAUACUAGUAAAUAAAUAAAAAGAAAAAAAGAACACUAUUCAUAAAAAAAUCCCUAAAAAAUGUAUCACCAUUAUAUUCAACUGAACUUUGUUUUAAGAAUAUUUAUCUUCGGCGUCUCUGAUAAAUGCUCUUCCUUUCUCUAAAAAGCAAAGAAAAUGAUAGCACAACUGUUCUUCUUUUGCCAUAUUAGACUGAUUUUCUGUAACAGUGGCCAACAUAAAUCAGGACCAGUGUAGGUAGCUUUUCUUUUGUUUUUGUGUUCUGUCUUCUUUUUUCUUAUUUGUUUCUGGCAAGAAAUCUAUGAAAUAGUUGGAGAAAGGCCAUCAGACAAUAGUUCUAUAGGACCAAAGAUAGUAGAUUAAUACCAAAGUACUCCCUCUGUUUCACUUUGUUUGUCAUAGUUUGACUUGACACAAAAUUUAAUAAACGAAGGAAAACUUUUGAAACUUGUGGUGUUAAAUAUGCCAUAACAUUCGUGUGGCUAAAAAAUUGAAACUUUAGGCUUUAAACAAUUCAUAACAUUUUUUGUGCUAUAAAAGAUUCUCAUUAAGGAAAUAGUGUAAUAUAGUCAUUCUUUUGGUACGGACUAAUAAGGAUACGGUGCCAAACAAAACGGAACAAAGAGGGAGUAAUAAUUUCAAACUUGUUUCGUAAUAAAUUAUAACCUCAUUUUUCUUGUCGUCUAACCUUGAACGUAAGAUGCUAAAGCUUCAUGUCUUGUUACGGAGCAGUGAAUGCUGAACAGAAAGGUUGAUGACAAAUCAGUUAUAAUAUCGAUGGUCUGGAACUGCUAUUCACAUGCUUAAAAAUGGAAAUAAAAGUUAUGAUAUGUGUUAGAAUUUGAUGAAAUCUCUUGUGUAAUUGAUUUCGUUUUCUAUGAAUUUGAUGAAAUCUCUUGUGUAAUUGAUUAGUUUUCUGUUUCAUCCUCUUUUUUCCCUUUUAAAGGUAGAAGGAGCAGUAGCCCUAGCAAUGGCCCAACAAAGGCUCCUAACUGCACUCAGAGCUACAGGUAACAGAGUUGAUAUUCAUAUUUAACUGUAUGACACCUUAGGAUUCAUUCACAAAAUAUACAACAACCACCCAGUAUAAUCCCACUUAGUGGGAUCUGGGAAGGGUAGUGUCUACGCAAACUUUACCCCUACCCUGGGGUAGAGAGACCGUUUCCAAAUAGAUUCUCGGCAUCCUUCUCUCCGAUCACUUCCUAUCUUGCUCUUGGGGAGACUCGAACUCACAACCUCUUGGUUGGAAGUAGAGGUUGCUUACCAUCAGAGCAACCCCUCUUGUCUGAAGUCCAACUUAAAAUAUUUUAAUGUGUAUGGGUAUUUAUCUAAAGUGCAAGUUCUGAAACCCAAAAGGGUAAAGAUCGGAUGCCCUCUUGUCUUAUCAUUCACCAAAUAUAUGUCAGGUAUAUGUUGAAUUUUUUCUUGUUUAUCCUAACUGGAUUGAGAUUCUGCCUUUGUUGUAGUUUUCACAAUUGUGGAUGAUCGAGCCUUAGUUUGUGGAGUUGUACGGACUUCUAUCAUAUCUCCUUCUCUUUUUGUUAUAGGAAUUUGCCUCAAUGUGUACAAUGCUGCAUCUCGAAUUGGGUUAACUUUUUUAGAGAUAUAUGCAUUUGUUGUAGGGUUAAGACUUGGAGCUACUGAACUUUUUCAGUCUCCAUUCUGAUCAUAGUAAACCAUCUCAAAUCUUGACUGAUAGAUAUAAUGACCUGCCGUUACAUAUGUUAUGGCUGCAGAUGACAUGAGGCUACCAAUGGAAGGCCAGAGCUUUUCAGAAGCAUUUGGUGAGUUUAUUCAAGUUACUGUCAUUUGGUCAGUCAAUUAGCUUACUUUGAACCCUUUGCACAAUUGAAUCAUUUCUCUUUCUUCUUUUUCUCAUUUCAACAGAAUAAACAUUACUUGCUUUUGAUAAAUCAUUUUUAAUUGCAUGACAUUUUUCCUUAUAUAGAUAUGACAUUGGAAAAUAUUAACUAUUCAAGUUACAUGUGUAACAAUAAGUGCAUGGCUCAACCCAAAAAGGUAUGAAUGGGUUUUCUUCACCAUGGUAUAAGAUUAAGCAUACUCAAAAAUCACCACCGGAGUUCUUGUCAAGGAUCUAAUUUUCACUGCUGUUGACUUAAUAUGAGGUGGCUUGACCUAUUUCCUUGCUCUUAUUGAAUAUCCUAUAUUCAAUGCCAAAUUGAGAGCCUUUCGUUCGGGAAGUGAAUUAAUUCCAGUUUAACCAUGUGAUUCGAGUACUUCUGAUACACCACUAUGCAAUAAUCUGAUGUCGAGCUUUUAGUCAGGUGUAGCCAUUCCAUUCAUUGUAUCUCCAAUUUUGCCUAUAUUUUCAAAAGGAGUGGUUAGUAGAUAUUAGCAUUAGAACUUCCUUUGCUACCUCGUAUUACUAAUAUUAUGUCUGUAUCACAGAAUUGAGUCCGGAGGAGACAGAAGAUGUGCAGUUUAAGCAGGUAUUUGACUCUUUAAUGAAUUCUUCACAUUGACUUUCCCUCUUUUUUCCACCUUCCUUGUUCCCUUGUGGCUAUUAGGUACUUGCUGGUUAGCGAACCUUUGAAUAGCUAAAACUGCGUAAUUAUUGCUCAUUAAUUUUGAAUUAUGCACAACUUCUCUGACAAUAUAUUCAAAAAAUAAAAAAUAACUAGCAUAUGAUUAAAGAUUUCUCUGAUGGUAAGCAACCCCCACUUCCAACUGAGAGGUUGUGAGUUCGAAUCUCCCCAAGAGCNNNNNNNNNNNNNNNNNNNNNNNNNNNNNNNNNNNNNNNNNNNNNNNNNNNNNNNNNNNNNNNNNNNNNNNNNNNNNNNAAGGUGGGAAGUUCUUGGAGGGAAGGAUGCCGAGGGUCUAUUUGGAAACAACCUCUCUACCCCAGGGUAGGGGUAAGGUUUGCAUACAUACUACCCUCCCUAGACCCCAUUAAGUAGGAUUAUACUGGGUUGUUAUUGUUGUUGUUGUUUAUCUGUAAUAGAAUCCGGAUGACAUUUUGUCUCUGUGAGAAAACCAAUGACUAUAUAAUAGCUAAACGAUCCAUUUCAAAAUAGACACUACUAUUCUUCAUAAUAUAUAUANNNNNNNNNNNNNNNNNNNNNNNNNNNNNNNNNNNNNNNNNNNNNNNNNNNNNNNNNNNNUAUAUAUAUAUAUAUAUAUAUAUGUAUAUAUAUGUAUAGUAGGGGCUCACUAACGUUACAAGUUACAAUUGAAUAAGAGGUCUCAAUAGUCCCCCUCUCUUUUCUCUCGUUAAUCAUUUAUGAGUUUGCUGUCCUUGUUAUUUGAAAAUAGUGGCAAUGUUUCAAGUCCUAUCUAUCAUUUUAAUAGAUGUUAUGCACUUGUUUUGGUAUUAUUGUUUCAGGCGUGGCUCACAUACUUGUGGAGAAGAGCCAACAAUCAUGGAGUGGAAUCAGAUAUUGCAGAGGAGAGAUUACAGUUUUGGAUAAACCAAGGUGGCCAACCUCUCACUUCACAUGAUGCUGUUCAUGGUAAGAGAUUCUCCCUCUCCGAAUAAUGAAUAUACAUAUUAAUUAGAGUCUGUUUGGAUUGACUUACUUUAAGUAUUUUUAAGCCAAAAUAACUUUUAAGCCAUUUUGUAGUGUUUGGAUAGAGUACAAAGUACUUUUAAACACUUGUUUUUAAGUUAAAAUUACAAAAAUAAGCCAAAAGCAAAAGCUUGAAUUCCUAAACUUAUGGCUUAAAAAUUAUUUCGGCUUAAAAGUCAAUUAAAAUAAGCCCAUCCAAACGGGGUCUUAGUCUGUUUGGAGGCGCAGUUGCAGUUAAACAUAUUAAUUAUUCUGUUUGGUCAAGUUACUGAGAAAUUAAAACAUACCAUUAGUCUGUUUGGUCAGAUGACAAAAUAUAUCCACUUCUAACGCAAAUAACUUUCUUUCACUUUGCAGUCGAGCGUGGCCUUAUAGAGCUCAAGAAGUUGGGCAUUGAAACCCAAUUAUGGAAAGAAUCUCGCCGAUCCAUAGAUCCAGAAAACACCCAAAAAAUGCAAAAGGAAAAUGAUUUUUGACAAUGACUUGUUUCUCUCAAUAAUUUUUUAUUUAUUUGGUGAAUACCAUUAUUUGCUGCACAUAUCUUAGUGAGGUUCCUCAAGUCUUAUUUGUCGUUGUAUGUGGAUAAGGAUUAAGCUGUUUUGAUGUGUUUUCACUAAAAGAGACAGCCAGAAUAUGCAAUCGACGACCGAAAAACCAUCAAGCUAUGCUUGGUGGUAAAGGUUUCCUCACCCAUAAUCAAUGGGAGGGAGCGGUUACAUCAUCCAUAGCAGAAUAUGUCUCCAGUACCAGAUGGUUGAAAAAAAUAUUUGAAGAUAUUCACCUUUACCGAUUGCUAAAAAAUACGCCAUCAGAUUUCUCUUUUCUCUCGUCGAAAACUCUGAAGUAUCAUAAGUCUUAACAUAUACUUCCUCCGUUUCAAUUUAUUGACCGGACAUGGAGUUUAAGAAAAAAAAUUACUUUAAAAGUUUGUGGUCCUAAAAAAGUCAAAAAUAGUAUGGUAAUAAAAGUUUCUUAUUAAGGAUAGAGUUGGAAGUUUAAGCUAUAUUAUUUUCAAAUUUAGAAAAGGGUUAUUCUUUUUUGAACGAACUAAAAAAAAUAAGUUAUAGAUAAACUGGAACUAAGUGAAUUAAUAAAUUUUUUCUACUUUUCGACACUUUCUGAUAUAUGGUAGUUUACAUUUUGACCAUCUUGUCUGUAGUUUAAUCUUAUGUAAUAUUCAAACAUAACUUAAUACUCGCGACAAAUGAAAAUUUUAUUUUCUAAAACUAUCUUUUUGUUACUGUAGAACUUAUGUAUUGAAAAUUCUAUAUCGAUGGAUGUAAUCACCUUCUUUAAAAGUCAAUUUUGAGGCGUUGUUUGGUUGGGGUUUUUAGCAUAACAAAUCUCAACUUAACAAUCAGACUAAAUUAUAUAAUAUAUGGUUCUGAUUUCAAGAGAUUAAUAUCCACACAGAAAUUAUCAUAAAGUUAUACAAUAUUUGAUUGCUAGUUUUUUCUUUCCUUACAAAUAAUACCUGCAUAAAUAAUGCAGAAAUCAAUGUAUUAUCUUAUGUGGAAAAUACUGUAGAAUAAGAUUAUAAGGGCCAGUAAUACAUGGAAUAAAAUUACAAAAUGAAAACACUAACCCUCUUAAUAGUUAGAAAGUUAAACUCUGUUUAGGCAAUAAAUAAAUAUUUACUAAUGGCUAAUAUAUCGAACUAAAUAUUCUACAAUAAAGAAUUAUUGUAUUAUUAAUUCCUACAUAACUCUUUAUAUAUAUAUAUANNNNNNNNNNNNNNNNNNNNNNNNNNNNNNNNNNNNNNNNNNNNNNNNNNNNNNNNNNNNNNNNNNNNNNNNNNNNNNNNNNNNNNNNNNNNNNNNNNNNNNNNNNNNNNNNNNNNNNNNNNNNNNNNNNNNNNNNNNNNNNNNNNNNNNNNNNNNNNNNNNNNNNNNNNNNNNNNNNNNNNNNNNNNNNNNNNNNNNNNNNNNNNNNNNNNNNNNNNNNNNNNNNNNNNNNNNNNNNNNNNNNNNNNNNNNNNNNNNNNNNNNNNNNNNNNNNNNNNNNNNNNNNNNNNNNNNNNNNNNNNNNNNNNNNNNNNNNNNNNACAUAACUCUUUAUAUAUAUAUAUAUAUAUAUAUAUAUAUAUAUAUAUAUAUGUAACACAACUCAAAAUCCAGCUAGUCGUGAUGACACCUCACCUAACUCGCUAGGUAAGCGAAAUGAUAGACAAUACAACUCAAAUAGGAUAACAGGAAUCAAUAAAUAAAAGGACUGAGCUUUCUAUACAAAAUUCUAAGGAUUAGUAGUACAAAUCAAGAGUUUCCAAGACUUAAAAUUUACAAAGCUGGUACGAAAUAAAUACAUCAUAUAUUCGAAAUACACAUAAACAAAUUUAUACAUAUAAAGCUACCAAGAACAAGAGGGAGCUAUAACCGGAACGCAUGUAUAUCUUCCAUACCAGCUCCCCAUAUACACAGCAACAUCAACUCCAAGAUAUGAACGCAAGGUGCAAAAGUGUAGUAUAAUACAACCGACCCCAUGAACUCAAUAGGUAAGAAACCUAACCUUAGGUUGAAAGCAGUGAUAAGCUUGGAAAAAGGUCAGUAACCAACAACAAUAGCCAAAUAACCGUUCAUAAUAGCGUAAUGAAAACGGUAAAGGUAUAUAUCUUAGGAUAGGAAUGCUCAGCUUGUUCACAUAUGUAAGAAAGUUUACAUGCUUUUCACGUAUAACAGUCCACAUUUAAAUCUUACCACUGAAAUAAGUUAAAGAUGAGUUUAUCAAAGAACUGUGUUUUUCUAAUUUACAACAUCAUAUAAGACUUUUCAUUUACCAAUUAGCAUGAGGAGAAUGCAUCUCUAUGCCUACUUGUUAAGUAUACAUGUCAAGUAAUCAUGUACCAUGUCAUUGCCUAGCAUGAGGAAGGUACGUCCCAAUGCCUCCAUGUCAGGUAUAGAUGUCAAGAAACCAAAUGUCAUGUCACUGUCUAGCACGGAGAAAGUAUUCUCUAUGCCUACAUGUCAAACAUGCAUGUUGAAAAUUCAAUUUCACAAUGAACUCAUUUAGUACACACAAUCUUAGCACACUCCAGAUGUCUGGCUCAAAGCAAGUUUCAUAAUCGUGGAUCCAUCAAAAUAAUCACACUUAGCACUGUACCGGUGCAUGGAAUAAUUGCCUGUCAUCAAAGCACGUAUAUAAAAUAUUAUGCAUGCACUCAUAGCUGGCAUAUCUGUCACGACCCUAAAUCCUAAGUGUGAUCACGCCUAUCAUAAUACUAAGCUAGCCGAUAACUCAUACAUACCAACAUCUUGAAAUUUAAAAUAUAUAAAAUUAAUCUUAAGUAAGUAAAGGUCUCAAAAAACUCAAAACAUCACAGCUCCAUACAAAAUUUUCCAAAAUUCGUGGUGUCACACAGUAUAUGAGCUAAUACAUAGUCUGGUACACUGUCUAAGUAGGUAGAACUGAAUAAGUACAACUGAGGGAUAGGGAAGGGGAUGAGAUUCAAGGUCUAUGGAUCUUAAGACAGCUACCUCGAUAAUCUCCAAACGGCUGAAAACUCUAAGAUAAACAACCACCGUGCUCGGAAACACCUUGUACUACACACGAAGGGUAGGAUAUAGCGUAAGUACAAUUAACUUAAUAAGUAACAAGUCUAACCUUUGGACUGAAAGCGGUGACUAGUUCGAAUAAUACAGUCCAGAUACAUAAUUAAACAGUACGAAAAUUUACAGAAUAUAUGACAAUAACAUCUCAGAGAAACUCAUAAUUUGCAGGUAUCAGUACAGGAAUGUAGACAUGCUUACAGGUUUAGCAAUUGAACUCGGAACAUAUGAAAUAUGUCAAGUCUGAAUGAUAUGAGGAAUAUGACAUCUCUAUAUCUACAAUCCAAUAUGCAUAUCGUAUGUGAUGCAACACGAUGAAAGCCUUGCAUACUAACACUCUCAGAGUACUCAACCUGACUGUCUCAAUUCUCACUCAUCACUCUCAAUCACUCAGCACUGUACAAAGCAUAUCCAGCCCGAAUCAAAUAUCAUGAAUCAAAAGCAAUUUCACUUACUGUGGGUGUCCAGACUCCAGAGGGGAAGAACCAUCCCAAGAGAUAUAAUAAGCAAACCAUAGCAUGAAUCAAUAUAGCUUGCUGCAGCAUGAAGCCCGAUCUCAUAAAUAUCACUCACAAACAGGCCCUCAGCCUCGCUCAGUUAUCAAUCUCUCCAGUCUCUCGAGCUUGCAACACUCAUGCUAAGCAGUCCAAAUCAAUGAUACAUGAAGUGCUAAUGUAUGAUAACAGAGUGAGAUAUGAUAUGCAAUGAUGAAUGCGACUGAGUACAUUACUGUAAUUAAGAAAAUAACUCAACACCAAGAGCGCCUAUUGUGGGUCCCAAUAGUACCAGCACAUAGCAACAACAACAACAAUAAUAUACCCAGCCUUAUCCCACGUUUUGGGGUCUGAAGAGGGUAGUGCGUACGCAGACCUUACCCUUAUCUUGUGAAGAUAGAUAUGUUGUUUCCAAUAGACCCUUGGCUCAGGAAAGCAUUAUCACCACAUUAAUAAAAAUAUAGACAAGAACGGACAAUACCUAAACAUGAUUUCUCGUAUAAAUCACACUCAAGUAGUCUAACACAUAGAGUACAACAAUAAUAUUCAGAUAAGAAAGGUAUAUAGUUCCAUGGAAUCGACUAAAUCAUAAUUUCUACGGUGCUCGCCCACACGCCCGUCACCUCAAUACCAACCACAUAGCACAAAAUUUCAAGGAUUCAUACCCUCGGAGCCAGGUUUAGAAGUGUUACUUACCUCAAACCGUGCAUAUUUGUACUCCAACAAGCCCCUACCUCGUGAAUCGACCUUUGAAUGACUCGAAUCUAGCCACAAACAAUUUGAUAUAAUCAACUCAAAACUAUAGGAAUCAAUUCUAUAUGAAAAUGCUAAGUUCUUAAUCAAAAGCAAACUCAAAAGUCCACCCCCAGACCCACAUCUCGGAAUCCAAUAAGAGUUCAAAAAUCCAAAAGCACAUUCAAUCACGAGUCCAACCAUACCAAUUUUACCAAAUUCCAACACAAAAUUGUCACUCAAAUCCCCAAAUUUAACUCUCCAAUACCUAGCCUAAAACUCCAGAACUUCCACCUCAAAAAACAUACAAACUAAGUAGGAAAUUCAAUGGAGAAGCAAUAUUAUUGAAUAAAAAAUGAUCACAAGUGACUUACCUCAAGAAACCCCUCAAAAUCCAUCUCAAAAAUUGCCUUAGUCCGAGUUUGCAAAGUCCAAAAUUAUGAAAAUCACGAAACCCUUAAAUUUUAGACAUUGCCCAUGUAUUUUCGCACCUCCGGAGCCUGGGCUCGCACCUGCUCUCCCGCUUUUGCGGAGAAAAACUCGCAUCAAUGAAACUCACUUAACAUGCACCUACGGUCCCAGCCUUGCACCCGCAGGACUGCAUCUGCCAACUGCCCCUCGCUUCUGCGACCCAACGUUGCCUUCCCAAAUCCACUUCUGUGGUCGCCCAUGCCCAGAUGCGCAUCCACAUCUGCAGAAACUUUUCUGCGCCUGCGACCCCCCGUGACUUUCCUCCUCUUCAUAUUUGUACAAGCUUAGAUACUUCUACGGCUCUACACCUGCAGCCAAUCCCAUUGCAGGUGCGCUGACAAUAGAUCUGCAACACCUCAGCAUAACACUUAAGCCAAAUUCGAUCCGUUAACCAUCCGAAACCAGCUGGAGGCCUCCAAGACCUCAACCAUAUAUACCAACAAUUCCUAAAACAUCAUACGAACUUAGUCGAGGCCUCAAACACAUCAAACAACAUCAAAAACACGAAUCACACCUCAAUUCAAACCUAUCAAAUCACGUCUCAUUGACCUCAAUUUUGUACACAAGUCAUAAAUGACACAACAGACCUACUCCAACUCCCUAAACCAAACUUUGAGCCCGUUAACCACAAAGUCAACUCUUUCAAUUUCCCAAACUUCUGAUUUUCCAACUUUCACCAUUUCAAGCCUAAAUCAACUACGGACCUUCAAGUUUUCAUUCGGAUGCACUCUUAAGUCCAAAUCACCCUACGAGAUAUCAAAACCAUCAAAACUCCAUUCCGGAGCCAUUUACACAUAAAUCAACGUCCGGUCAACCUUUUCAACUUAAGCUCCGACCUUGAGACUAAGUGUCUCAACUCUAUCCGGAACAUUCCCGCAACAAACCUACUCCCCUGACAAGUUACAUAGCGAUAAUUGAGCAUAAAAUAAGUAAUAAAUGGGGAAAUGGUGCUACAACACUCAAAGCGACCAGUCGGGUCGUUACAUCCUCCCCCUUUUAAACAAACGUUCAUCCUCGAAUGAGUCUAGAAACAUACCUAGAGUCUCAAAUAGGCGUGGAUAUCUGCUCCGCAUCUCCCGUUCGAUCUCCCAAGCUGACACCUCGACUGGCUGACCUCUCCAAUGCGCUUUCACUGAACCUAUGUUCUUUGACCUUAACUUUUGAACCUACCGAUCCAAAAUAGCCACCGGCUCCAAAUCAUAAGUCAAACCACCAUCCAAAUGAACCGUGCUGAAAUAAAAAACAUGAGACAGAUCACUGACAUACUUCCGGAGCAUAGAAACAUGAAACACAGGGUGAACAAUCGAUAAAAUAGGUGGCAAUGCAAGCUUGUAAGCCACCUCUCCAAUCCUCUGAAGCACCUCUAACAAACCAAUGUUUUGAGGGCUAAACUUUCCAUUCUUCUGGAACCUCAUAACACUCUUCAUGGGUGAAACUUUUAGUAGUACCUUCUCCCUCACCAUGUAAACAACAUCACGAACCUUCGAAUCGAUGUAACUCUUCUGCCUAGGCUGUACCAUGUGAAGUUGAUCCUGAAUUAGCUUAACCCUAUCCAAAGCAUCCUGAACUAGAUUAACCCUAUCCAAAACAUCCUGAACUAAGUUAGUAACCAAUAGCCUAGCCUCACCUGGAUUAACCAUUCCACCGGAGAUUGAUACUGUCUCCAAUACUAAGCCUCAUAUAGAGCCAUCUGAAUUCUCGAUUGUUAGUGUUGUUGUAGGAAAACUCUGCGAGCGGCAGAAACGGAUUCCAAUAACCCCUGAAAUCUAUGACAUAAGCACAUACCAUAUUCUCCAAUAUCUGAAUAGUGACUCGGACUAUCCGUCCGUCUUAGAGUGAAAUGUUGUACUCAUCUCAACCUGUGUGCCCAACUCUCACUGCACUUCUCUCCAAAACUGUAAUGUAAACUGCAUGCACCAAUUUUGAAAUGAUAGACACCGGAACACCGUGAAGGCAAAAAUCUCAAGGAUGUAGAUCUCAGCCAACCGUUUUGAAGAACAAGUAGUCCCAACUAAAAUGAAAUGCACGGACUUGGUCAACCAAUCCACAAUCACCCAAGUAACAUCAAACUUCUUCGAAGUCCAUAGAAUCCCAACUACAAAAUCCAAGGUGAUGCACUCCCAAUUCCACUCUAGAAUCUCAAGUCUUUGAAGCAAUCUACCCAGUAUCUAUUUAUCAUACUUCACCUGCUGACAAUUUAAGCACCGAGAUACAAACCAAACUAUAUCCUUCUUCAUCAUUCUCUACCAAUAGUGUUGCCUCAAGUCCUGGUACAUCUUCGUGGCACCCGGAUGAAUGGAAUACCGCAAACUGUGGGCCUCCUCAAGAAUCAACUCACGCAACACAUAUACAUUAGGCACAAAAAUCUUACCCUUCAUCAUCAACACCCCAUCAUCCCCAGUAGUAACUUCCUUAGCAUCACCGUGUUGAAUCAUGUCCCUAAGGACAAGCAAAUGGGGAUUAUCAUACUAGCACUCUUUAAUGCGAUCAUAUAAGAAAGAUCGAGAAACCACACAAGCUAGAACUCGACUAGGCUACGAAACAUCUAAUCUCACAAAUUGAUUGACCAAGGCCUGAACAUCAACUGCAAGCGGUCUCUCAUCAACAAGAAUAAAUGCAAGGCUGCCCAUACCCACCGCCUUUCUACUCAAGGCAUCAACCACUAUAUUGGCCUUUAAGGGAUGAUACAUAAUUAUAAUAUCAUAGUCCUUUUGCACCUCCAACCAUCUCUACUGCCUUAAAUUUAGAUCCUUUUGUUUGAACAGGUGCUGGAGACUCCAGUGAUCCAUAAAUACCUCACAAGACACACGGUAGAGAUAAUGCCUUCAAAUAUUCAAUGCAUAAAUAAUACCUCCAAAUCUUCAAUGCAUAAACGAUGGCUGCCAACUCCGAAUCUUGAACAUGGUGGUUCUUCUCAUGGGGAUUUAACUGGAGUGAAGCAUAAGCAAUAAAUCUACCCUCAUGCAUCAAGACCAAUACCAAUCCGAAAAGCAUCAAAAUACACUUUAUAAUAGCCAGAAGCUAAAGGCAAAACUAGAGCUAGAGCUUUAGUCAAGGUAGCCUUGAGCUUAUGAAAGCUCUCCUUACACUCAUCCGACCACCUGAAUGGAGCACCCUUUUGGGUUAAUUAGGUCAAAGGCACUUCAAUAGACGAGAACCUUCCACGAAGUAGCAAUAAUAACCGGACAAGCCGAGAAAACUCUAAAUCUCAAUAGCUAAAGAUAGUCUAGGCUAACUCUAAACCGCCUCUAUUUUCUUUGGAUCCACCUUAAUCCCCUCAUUGAACACCACGUUCCCUAAGAACGCCACAAAACUAAGCCAAUACUCACACUUAGAGAACUUGGCAUAAAGUUUUUCCUCCCUCAGGCGUUGUAGUACCAUACUCAAAUAUUAGGUAUGCUCCUCCUAGCUACGUGAGUACACCAGAAUAUCAUCAAUAAAUACUAUGACAAACAAGUUGAGAUAUGGCUAAAAUGCAUUGUUCGUCAGAUUCAUGAAUGAUGUAGGGGCAUUAGUCAGCUUGAAAGACAACACAAGGAACUCAUAGUGACCAUAGCGGGCCCUAAAUGUCGUCUUCAGAAUAUAUGAGUCCCAAAUCUUCAACUGGUGAUACCAAAACCUCAAAUCAAUCUUAGAGAACACCCUCGCUCCCUGAAGUUGGUCAAAUAAAUCAUCAAUGGAUAGGGAAAAGGAUAUUUGAUCUUGAUUGUAACUUUGUUCAACUACCUAUAGUCGAUACACAUUCGCAUAGUACCUUCCUUCUACUUCACAAACCGAACCAGUACAACCAAAGGCGACACACUAGUCCUAAUAAACGCCUUAUCUAGAAGUUCAUGAAGCUGCUCUUUCAAUUCCUUCAACUCAACUGGAGCCAUACGAUAUAGAGGAGUAGAAAUGGGUGAGUGCCCCACCAAAUCAAUAGCAAAGUCAAUAUCCCUGUCGGGUGGCAUGCCCAGUAGGUCUACAAGAAACAUAUUCAGAAAGUCUCGCACCUCUUGAAUAGAAUCAAUAGUAGGGGUAUCAGUACCAACAUCCCUCACAAAUGCCAAAUAUGAUAGACACCCCUUCCCAACCAUCUGUGGGGCCUUCAAAUAUGAAAUCACCCUGCUGACAACAGAAUCUAGAGAACCUCUCCACUCGAUCUUUGGCAACCCCGGCAUCACCAAAGGCAUGGUCUUAGCGUGACAAUCCAGAAUAGCAUGACAUGGAAACAACCAAUCUAUACCUAAAAUCAUGUCGAAAUCGACUAUACUAAGCAAUAAAAGAUCAACUCUAGUCUCCAAUCCACUAAUAGUUAGUAUACCCAAUAGAUAUACACGACCUACAACAAUAGUAUCGCCCACUGGCAUAGAUACAUGAAAAGAUGAAACUAAGGACUCACGGGGCAUAUUUAGAUAACGAGAAAAAGAUGAUUGUAUAUACGAAUAAGUAAAACUAGGGUCAAAUAAUAUAGAAGCAUCCUUGUGGCAUACUGAGUCCAUUAUGUCUGAAGCAACAGUCUUUGUCCUUGUAGGAUCAGGAUCGAAUCGAGCCUGACAGUCAUCUGAUCGGCUUUUCCCUCUAGGGAGAUCCCGAGAUGCCUAAGCCCAAUCUCAAGAUGGCGGGCGGGUGGUGAACUAACUGGUCUGGAAACUACAGCCUAACUCCUUUGCUGAACUGAACCUCCUGAAAGACGGGGACAAUGCCUCUUCACAUGGCCCAACUCUCCACACUCAAAGCAACCCCUCUCAAAAAAUUGUGGCAAGUACUAAGGCAGAACGCGAGAACAAGAACACUACUGUAGGAACCUGGUGCCGAUGAACCGUGAACUGCAGCUACAUGAAAUGAACUCUGAGCUAGGAGUGCACUAAGAGAUGACUGACCUGGUCAAGUACUUUAUGAACUAUGGCUAGAUGAUGCACCACGAUGAAUUAGAUGAGCCACCUGAGCAGGCUUAUAAGGACGGCCCCUGUUGUGGUAGAACUGACCCCUAGGGGGAACACCGCAGAAACCACCUGAUCCACGAGGCCUCUUGGCCUCCCUCUCUUCACACUCUAACUACGAACCAACUCUAGCUGCCGAACAACAUUAAUCACCUUGUCGGUCCUAGCACCUAAUACACUCUCCUGAUUCAUAACAAAACGCAACUGAUUGGUGAGGCCAUCAAUGAACCUCAUAAUCCUCUCUCUCUCAGUUGGAACGAAACAAACUGUGUGAUGAUCUAACUUUGAAAACCCCAUCUCAUACUGGCUCACAUAAAUGCCCUCCUGACGUAUCUGCUCGAUCUACCUGCGCAGCUGCUCCCUACGAGUCUGUGGCACAAACUUCUCUAAAAACAUAAUAGAGAACGUAUUCCAUGAAAGUGUUGCAGCACCAACUGACUUGUUCCUCUCAAAGGCCUCCCACCAUCUUAAGGCAGCCCGUGAUAGUUGAAAAUUAAUAAAGGAGACUCCACUAGUCUCCAGAAUACCAGCCAGUUAAAGAAUCUGAUGGAGCCUAUCCAAGAAGUCCUGAGCAUCCUCUAACUUAGACCCACUGAAUGAUGGAGGCUGGAGCCUCCCAAAUCUCUCUAGUCUCUUCUUCUCCUCUACUUAUAACGGGAACCAUCUGGGCCUGAGCAAUUACAACCAGUUGGGAUGUUAGUACCUACCCUAGUAUAUAAAGCCCCUAAACCACCUGCUUUAGAGUACGGAUGACGGGUGUCUGAGAACCUCAUCCAGCUAGAGAAGUGCAUGGCGUGGUUUGAAUAGAAACCGCCUAAGCAAGGCUAGUGCAAACAAUCAAUAUCUGAGCCAAUGCCUCCUAACGGGCUGGAAUCACAAUGGGCACAAUUGGUGUUUGAGUUAGCCCAACUAGCUCAACCAUAUUGGAACCUGCUCCUAACCUGGAGCAACUAG
rnacentral:lncRNA from 1 species